UUGAACGCUGGCGGCAUGCCUUACACAUGCAAGUCGAACGGCAGCGCGGGAGCAAUCCUGGCGGCGAGUGGCGAACGGGUGAGUAAUACAUCGGAACGUGCCCAAUCGUGGGGGAUAACGCAGCGAAAGCUGUGCUAAUACCGCAUACGAUCUACGGAUGAAAGCAGGGGACCGCAAGGCCUUGCGCGAAUGGAGCGGCCGAUGGCAGAUUAGGUAGUUGGUGAGGUAAAGGCUCACCAAGCCGACGAUCUGUAGCUGGUCUGAGAGGACGACCAGCCACACUGGGACUGAGACACGGCCCAGACUCCUACGGGAGGCAGCAGUGGGGAAUUUUGGACAAUGGGCGCAAGCCUGAUCCAGCCAUGCCGCGUGCAGGAUGAAGGCCUUCGGGUUGUAAACUGCUUUUGUACGGAACGAAAAGGUUCUUUCUAAUAAAGAGAGCUCAUGACGGUACCGUAAGAAUAAGCACCGGCUACUACGUGCCAGCAGCCGCGGUAAUACGUAGGGUGCGAGCGUUAAUCGGAAUUACUGGGCGUAAAGCGUGCGCAGGCGGUGAUGUAAGACAGUUGUGAAAUCCCCGGGCUCAACCUGGGAACUGCAUCUGUGACUGCAUCGCUGGAGUGCGGCAGAGGGGGAUGGAAUUCCGCGUGUAGCAGUGAAAUGCGUAGAUAUGCGGAGGAACACCGAUGGCGAAGGCAAUCCCCUGGGCCUGCACUGACGCUCAUGCACGAAAGCGUGGGGAGCAAACAGGAUUAGAUACCCUGGUAGUCCACGCCCUAAACGAUGUCAACUGGUUGUUGGGUCUUCACUGACUCAGUAACGAAGCUAACGCGUGAAGUUGACCGCCUGGGGAGUACGGCCGCAAGGUUGAAACUCAAAGGAGUUGACGGGGACCCGCACAAGCGGUGGAUGAUGUGGUUUAAUUCGAUGCAACGCGAAAAACCUUACCCACCUUUGACAUGUACGGAAUUUGCCAGAGAUGGCUUAGUGCUCGAAAGAGAACCGUAACACAGGUGCUGCAUGGCUGUCGUCAGCUCGUGUCGUGAGAUGUUGGGUUAAGUCCCGCAACGAGCGCAACCCUUGUCAUUAGUUGCUACAUUCAGUUGGGCACUCUAAUGAGACUGCCGGUGACAAACCGGAGGAAGGUGGGGAUGACGUCAAGUCCUCAUGGCCCUUAUAGGUGGGGCUACACACGUCAUACAAUGGCUGGUACAAAGGGUUGCCAACCCGCGAGGGGGAGCUAAUCCCAUAAAACCAGUCGUAGUCCGGAUCGCAGUCUGCAACUCGACUGCGUGAAGUCGGAAUCGCUAGUAAUCGUGGAUCAGAAUGUCACGGUGAAUACGUUCCCGGGUCUUGUACACACCGCCCGUCACACCAUGGGAGCGGGUUCUGCCAGAAGUAGUUAGCCUAACCGCAAGGAGGGCGAUUACCACGGCAGGGUUCGUGACUGGGGUG
rnacentral:rRNA from 1 species